rnacentral:tRNA from 1 species
GCCCGAGAUGCGGUUGGACGCGUCGCUGCCGCUCCUCGCGGUGGCGGGCCUCCUCGUCGGGUUCGGCACCCGCCUCGGGUCC